rnacentral:rRNA from 1 species
UAGUAUCAGCGUGUCAGCCGCCGCGGUAAGUACAGAGGGUGCAAGCGUUAAUCGGAAUUAACUGGGCGUAAAGCGCGCGUAGGUGGUUCGUUAAGUUGGAUGUAGAAAGCCCCGGGCUCAACCUGGGAACUGCAUUCAAAACUGUCGAGCUAGAGUAUGGGUAGAGGGUGGUGGAAUUUCCUGUGUAGCGGUGAAAUGCGUAGAUAUAGGAAGGAACACCAGUGGCGAAGGCGACCACCUGGACUGAUACUGACACUGGAGGUGCGAAAGCGUGGGGAGCAAACAGGAUUAGAUACCCUGGUAGUCCACGCCGUAAACGAUGUCAACUAGCCGUUGGGAGCCUUGAGCUCUUAGUGGCGCAGCUAACGCAUUAAGUGACCGCCUGGGGAGUACGGCCGCAAGGUUAAAACUUAAAUG